UACGUAGGGGUCGAGCGUUGUCCGGAGUACUGGGCGUAAAGCGUGCGCAGGCGGCUCAUCGCGCUCGGCGUGAAAGCCCCCCGGCUCAACCGGGGAGGGUCGUCGAGGACGGAUGGGCUUGAGGGUAUCAGGGGUUGGUGGAAUUCCCGGUGUAGUGGUGAAAUGCGUAGAGAUCGGGAGGAACACCCGUGGCGAAGGCGGCCAACUGGGAUACACCUGACGCUGAGGCACGAAGGCGUGGGGAGCGAACGGG
rnacentral:rRNA from 1 species